GACCCACUCUUUUUUCACCUCCGGUCGUACCUACUGGGUGUGCCCAGAUGGUGUCCCUUCCCUCCCAGUCCGGGAUCCUAUUCUGAAACCCUCUCCCCGCAUCCCCACGCCCCCCACAGGACCCAUGGGGAGUGAGUGGCAGGAAACCGCAACCCCCAUCAACACCAGCUUGGGCACUGAGGCGCGAAUCCACGAGCUGCGGGUCCUCCGCGUUCCGAGUGCAGGAGGGGGCCAGACCUUUGUCAGGGCUCAGGACAAACUGUGGGUCGAGAGGCAUGGACUGAAUCAGCUCCAGAAUCUGGGCUAGGUGCGGCCUGUUUUGCAAAAGCGUGAGGCUUUGCACUCUUCGGGCAGGCUGUGAGGGCCAAGGGGAGGAAGUCUUCUCCCUUUGCUCCCAAAUAACCUAAACAUCACGACCUAAAGUCCCCUCGGUGUUUCCACUAAGGGAGUACAAACACUUCACUAUUACCCUUGUAGCUCUUCUCUGUACAUUUUCCUUCCAGCUUUUUCCCACUAUUUUACCAUCUGCACACCUCAGCCAAACUGUACAAUUCAGGAUUCUAGAACGUGCCAUGCAUUUUAUUAUCUCUAAGUUUUUGCCCAUGCCAUGGCUUCUUCCUUGAAUGCCCCUUUCCUCAUCGGGUUAAUCAAAUCUUGCCCAUUCACGAAAGCCCAUCUUUAUGCUCUCUCUUUUGUGAAAUUCAGUUUCCUAAUAAACUGUGAUUAUUUUUCUCUGAAUUGACAGGAUUCUUGUCCGGUCCUGCUCUUGUUCAAGUCUUCGCUCUGCUAUAAACUGAACUCCUGGAGGGCAGUGAUCGUUUAUCCACUUGUCCUCCCUUCCUAAGGCUUAGCCAGGGGAAAUCUGGUCCCAGAGACACUUGGAAGAAAGAUGAUGUGAAAAGAGGCAGGGAGAACACGGCCAUCUGCAAGCCAAGGAGAGAGGCCUGGAACAAGAGCCUUCCCUCACAGCCCUCAGAAGGAAUCAAUCCUGCUG
rnacentral:lncRNA from 1 species